UGGGGAAUCUUGCACAAUGGAGGAAACUCUGAUGCAGCGACGCCGCGUGGACGACGAAGCCCUUCGGGGUGUAAAGUCCUUUCGACCGGAACGAUAAUGACGGUACCGGUGGAAGAAGCUGCGGCUAACUACGUGCCAGCAGCCGCGGUAAUACGUAGGCAGCAAGCGUUGUUCGGAAUUACUGGGCGUAAAGAGUUCGUAGGCGGUGCGGCAAGUUUGGUGUGAAAUCUCCCGGCUCAACUGGGAGGGUGCGCUAAAUACUGCCGUGCUCGAGUAUAGGAGAGGUAAGCGGAAUUCCUGGUGUAGCGGUGAAAUGCGUAGAUAUCAGGAGGAACACCUGUGGUGUAGACGGCUUACUGGACUAUAACUGACGCUGAGGAACGAAAGCGUGGGUAGCAAACAGG
rnacentral:rRNA from 1 species